rnacentral:rRNA from 1 species
AGCGAACGCUGGCGGCAGGCUUAACACAUGCAAGUCGAGCGGGCAUCCUUGUGGUGUCAGCGGCAGACGGGUGAGUAACGCGUGGGAACGUGCCCUUCGGUUCGGAAUAACUCAGGGAAACUUGAGCUAUACCGGAAAAGGUCGAAGGCCGGAAGGUUUAUCUGCCGGAGGAUCGGCCCGCGUCUGAUUAGCUAGUUGGUGAGGUUAUGGCUCACCAAGGCGACGAUCAGUAGCUGGUCUGAGAGGAUGAUCAGCCACACUGGGACUGAGACACGGCCCAGACUCCUACGGGAGGCAGCAGUGGGGAAUAUUGGACAAUGGGGGCAACCCUGAUCCAGCCAUGCCGCGUGAGUGAUGACGGCCUUAGGGUUGUAAAGCUCUUUUCUCCGGGACGAUAAUGACGGUACCGGAGGAAUAAGCCCCGGCUAACUUCGUG